rnacentral:rRNA from 1 species
AGCGCAGACGGUUGAUUAAGUCUGAUGUGAAAGCCCGGAGCUCAACUCCGGAAUGGCAUUGGAAACUGGUUAACUUGAGUGUUGUAGAGGUAAGUGGAACUCCAUGUGUAGCGGUGGAAUGCGUAGAUAUAUGGAAGAACACCAGUGGCGAAGGCGGCUUACUGGACAACAACUGACGUUGAGGCUCGAAGGUGUGGGUAGCAAACA